rnacentral:tRNA from 1 species
GCCCGGAUAGCUCAGUCGGUAGAGCGUAGGCUUUUAACCUACGGUCCAGGGUUCGAGUCCCUGUUCGGGCG